rnacentral:rRNA from 1 species
CCUACGGGUGGCUGCAGUCGAGAAUCUUCGGCAAUGGGCGCAAGCCUGACCGAGCGACGCCGCGUGCGGGAUGAAGGCCUUCGGGUUGUAAACCGCUGUCGAGGGGAAUGAAGUGCAGGUGGGUUCUCCCAUCUGUUUGACAGAUCCCUGGAGGAAGCAUGGGCUAAGUUCGUGCCAGCAGCCGCGGUAAGACGAACCAUGCAAACGUUAUUCGGAUUCACUGGGCUGAAGGUCUUCGUAGGCGGUCGUGAAAGCCCUCAGCCAAACUGAGGAAUUGCGCUUGAUACUGCAUGACUAGAGAAUGAUAGAGGUGGGUGGAACUGAUGGUGGAGCGGUGAAAUGCGUUGAUAUCAUCAGGAACACCAGUGGCGAAGGCGACCCACUGGGUCAUUUCUGACGCUGAGGUACGAAAGCUAGGGUAGCGAACGGGAUUAGAUACCCGAGUAGUC